rnacentral:rRNA from 1 species
AUUGAACGCUGGCGGCAGGCCUAACACAUGCAAGUCGAGCGGAUGAGGGGAGCUUGCUCCUGGAUUCAGCGGCGGACGGGUGAGUAAUGCCUAGGAAUCUGCCUGGUAGUGGGGGAUAACGUCCGGAAACGGGCGCUAAUACCGCAUACGUCCUGAGGGUGAAAGUGGGGGAUCUUCGGACCUCACGCUAUCAGAUGAGCCUAGGUCGGAUUAGCUAGUUGGUGGGGUAAAGGCCUACCAAGGCGACGAUCCGUAACUGGUCUGAGAGGAUGAUCAGUCACACUGGAACUGAGACACGGUCCAGACUCCUACGGGAGGCAGCAGUGGGGAAUAUUGGACAAUGGGCGAAAGCCUGAUCCAGCCAUGCCGCGUGUGUGAAGAAGGUCUUCGGAUUGUAAAGCACUUUAAGUUGGGAGGAAGGGCAGUAAGUUAAUACCUUGCUGUUUUGACGUUACCAACAGAAUAAGCACCGGCUAACUUCGUG